CAUCAUAUCAUUGCGACGUCAGCUCUGCCCCCCACAUUAAUAGUUAAUUUUGAUUGCACUUCAUCAAUUUCUUUUUACAGGAGGUCUCAAAAGAAACUGAGAAAAAGAAAGAACUGAUGAUAUCUGCUUCCCCAAGAUGUCUCUGCCAGAGAAAAGUCCAGAGAAAUACCUGAUUGCAUACAAAAGAUAAAUGUAUCUAGGUGUCAAGUGCAACCAUGUCCCUUUGUAUCACAAUCAAGAAAAUGACGAUUCCCAACCACGGAUCGUAGUGAGAUGGAUGAAUUCAAAGACACCUGUACUCCUUUUUGGGACUCCCUCCAUUUAUGGCUUAAUCCAACCAGGACUGGCUGAAUUGCUGUGGCUAAGAGAUGCAGUUGUGCGGCAUCACCUUUUAUACCUCUUCAUUUUAUACCUCUUCAUUUAGUGACAACAGUGGCAAUUCGUUCAAAUAUAAUACCAUUUGAAGUGGUUACAUGAUAACUACCUUUAUUGUGAAAAUUCUCCUUCACCACCAAAUAAGCUCCUGAAGAAAUUGCUUUUGGAAUACCCCCUCUUUUUUUUUUUUGGGAAGUCAAAGUGAGGAAAAGGCUUCCAGCAAUUUAAAUGUGAUGCAUGUGGUUGUGCCCUGCAAGUUUCUUUCCUGAGUACCUGGGAUGUUAAGAAAGAAAAAUUCAAGAACGUCCAUGGAGAAGGCAUCAAGCGUGAUUUGGCCAACAGCCUUGCCAGCCAAGUUAAUAUGUUCCAUCUGGCCAGAUGUCCAACCCCCUCCUCACCAGCCAAGCCAAGAUAAACAGUGUCUCUACCAUAAAAAAAUAUGGUGAGAGGUAAUUAAAAUAGACCCAUACCAGUUUAAUCAUUGCCCAGGUUACAGGAACUAUGCUAGGUUUUGGAGUUCCUGGAAAUUUGGCAUUUGGAAAAUAUUCAGGAUUCAUGGCUGCUGCCUGAGUAACCGGGGCCAGCACCCUUGGCAGAAGUAAUUCAAAUUGCAAAGGCAAACCAGGGGGAUUUGGCAGUAGAAGAAGCCAGCACAGCUAUUGAAUUGUUUAUAUUCAGAAACCAGGACCCUAUUCUUUGCCUCAGAAACAACAAAGCUCUCUA